rnacentral:rRNA from 1 species
AUUGAACGCUGGCGGCAUGCCUUACACAUGCAAGUCGAACGGCAGCACGGGUGCUUGCACCUGGUGGCGAGUGGCGAACGGGUGAGUAAUACAUCGGAACGUACCUUAUCGUGGGGGAUAACGCAGCGAAAGCUGUGCUAAUACCGCAUACGCCCUGAGGGGGAAAGCGGGGGAUCGAAAGACCUCGCGCGAUUAGAGCGGCCGAUGCCUGAUUAGCUUGUUGGUGGGGUAAAAGCCCACCAAGGCGACGAUCAGUAGCUGGUCUGAGAGGACGAUCAGCCAACCUGGGACUGAGACACGGCCCAGACUCCUACGGGAGGCAGCAGUGGGGAAUUUUGGACAAUGGGGGCAACCCUGAUCCAGCAAUGCCGCGUGAGUGAAGAAGGCCUUCGGGUUGUAAAGCUCUUUUGUCAGGGAAGAAACACCGGCUCUAACACAGUCCGGGAAUGACGGUACCUGAAGAAUAAGCACCGGCUAACUACGUGCCAGCCGCCGCAGUAA